rnacentral:lncRNA from 1 species
GGAAAACAUUCCUGUUAUUUUCCGUGCAUCUGAAUUAAAAACCAAGUCCUUAUAUUGUGAACUUAAGAAGAUGUAUCACAGAGAUGCUUUCUCUUAGCAUCAGUGCUGUUGUGAGGAAACAUACAGUGUGACCAGGUUGAAAGGGGUUACCCGGCGUGUUUCAUCCAUUGGGCCAGUUAGCCUUUGUUUUCCUCAGAUACUAGAGUUACAAUGCCUGAGCACAUUAAAAUUGAUUUUGUGGAUCUGGUAGGUUUUGAAAGUGCUAAUAGUAGUCACUGUCCAGACUUCAGUGACCUCACACAAGGGUUUCUCCCUGUUGGUUGCAGGUCUGUUGGAAAUGCUACAAUAGUAGCUGUCGAUGAUGAUUUUUAAUGGAGAAGCAGAGGUGGCUCUAUAAUUUCUGUGGCUCCUUAGCAGACAUGAAAAAUGGCAGGAAAUAAGCU